ensembl:lncRNA
AUGAAUCGAGGAAAAUCCAUCAAGAGAAAGCUUUGGCGAGAGGAGGACAUGCUUCAUGCUCUUGAAGACGUGAGGUCUGGCAUGACCAUAAGGAUGGCGUGCAGAAUCUUCAGUGUCCCUCGAACGACCUUGGCUGAUAGGGUGAAGGGCCGUGUGGUCCACGGGUCCAGAGGUGGACCAAAAGCAUUACUUUCAGAGAAGGAUGAGAAUGAUCUUGUGCAGUACUGUCUCUACUGUGUCCAAUUUGGGUUCCCUUUCACCAGAAAACAAUUGUUAGCCUUUGCCAGUUCUAUAAGGAAGAUAAGAAACCCAGACAGUACCGGUGUAGUUGGGCGCAGGUGGUGGAACUGUUUCCAAAAAAGACACAAAAACAUUCAGACUCUAUGGAGUUCAGACAAAUUUCAUAAAAGGAGGACAAAGCGUGCUACUAGACGUAGACUGGAGCAGUACUUUGAACUUCUCAAACAUACGUUAGAAGAACAUGGACUUGAGGACAAACCAAGGCAAAUAUACAGCUGUGAGGAGUCUGGAUUUAAACUGGACAAGAACUAUCAGAAGGUUUUGGCAGGCAAGGGAGCGAAAACUGUUCACCAGCACGCAAAUGGGAAGGAGAACAACAUGUCUGUGUUGGUGUGUUUUAGUGCUGCUGGGGAAGACGUCCCACCAUUUUGUAUCUACUCAGAGACAUAUCCCGUUAGUCCACAUGCCUUAUGUGACAUAUCCCUGUCUGGAUACGUUGAUGGGGAAUCGUUUCACAAAUGGUUCAGCCAUUUUGUGAAACAUGCAGUGCAGGAGCGGCCCCUCCUCCUUAUACUCGAUGGGCACAAAAUCCACAUAAAUCUGGAACUGGUAACAGAGGCAAAGAAGGAAGGUAUUGUACUUGUAUGCCUUCCCCCAAAUUCAUCUGAUACCUUACAGCCAUUAGACAAGUCAUUCCUUGGGCCUCUGAAAUCACGGUUUGCCAAGUUGUGUAGAAAGGUCUGCCAUGCUAACGAGUCUGUUGUGGUGGAUAAGAGCCAUAUUGCCAGACUCCUCCAUCAACCCUACGAAGGGCUGAAAAAGAAGGCGGCUGUUGUAAAAGGCUUUAAAAGGUGUGGCAUCUAUCCUCUGAAUCCAGAUGCUGUGGAUUACAGCCAUAUCGGCCAGUCAUCUUCUCAAGAACCAUCUGCCGAUCGGACAGAAGAUCUACUCUCCUCCGAGGAAAUGCUCUGCUCUUCUUUCUCGAUUUCUGCUCCCCCUAAGACACCAAAGAAAGGAAAGGAUGUUCAUCCAAAGUCCCCUAGAGGACCAGGAGUCGCAUCUUACAGUGUUUUGUCAAGUGACGAGCAUGUAAACCUAAUCCUUGAAAGAGAGGUUAUAUCUGUGAGUGACCAAAAAGUGGCUGCAGGGGAGUGGGUUGUAUAUCAGGAGUCAAAAGAGACUAAAGAAUCCUCCAUAGAUGGUUGUCAACCUUUGGGAGAACAAAUAAUAUCUACUGACAGCACAGUGGUGCCAUAUUGGCAAGAAGACCUGUGGAGUGCACCCAUUGAAAACGAAACCAUGAUACAGGUCUCAUCCAUGGGAGAGAUGGCUCUCCAAAAUACAGAUGAGGUUGAAGAAACUGUAGAACAGUUCAACUCUGAAAUGGAUAUGACCGCAGACGGAGAGGAGUAUGUGCUGCCCAAUGAACAGGGGAGAAAAGAGACUGAGGCACAACCGGAGUCAGCACCUCUGAACAAAGGCGACUCUAUUGUGAGAAAAAAAAGGAAGAAUUGGCGUGAUGAAGACAUGCUGCAAGCCCUUGAAAAGGUGGAGGGUGGGAUGACCGUGAGGGAAGCUUCCAGGAUCUACAGCGUUCCCCGAGGUACUUUGAGGGAUAGAGUUAAAGGACAGGUCGUACACGGCACCAGACCAGGCCCUAAAAACUUGCUCUCGGGAGAGGAAGAAGAGGAGCUGUUCGACUAUUGUAAGUACUGUGUAAAAAAUGGUUUCCCAAUCUCCAAAGCCCUCUUCAUGGCUGCUGCUGUGUCUUUGAGGCAUCGGAAGAACCCGAAGAACCGUCCACUCGGGAAUAGGUGGUGGACGGGUGUUGUAAAGAGGAAUCCUAACAUCCGGGAGAUGAUUUUUGACCACCGUAAAGGGUGCAGACCAGUGGACCAGUACUUUGAAGUUUUUUCAAAAACCUUACAGGAACUAAGGCUAAAGGACAAACCAGGACAGAUUUACAGCUGCUGUGAGUUGCCAGUGAUGUGCGACCAGGAUAAACACAAAAAGCCAGGCCUAAGCGAAACAAACACAAACUUUGUGUCGGUACUGAUGUGCUUUAACGCGGCAGGGGAUCAUAUCCCACCCCUCAAUAUCUACCCAGAGACAUUUCCACGUGGCCCCUACAAGUUUGGAGGUGUCUCGAACGCCCUAUACGAGAAGUCCCCCACAGGACACGUCAACGAGAGUGUCUUCCACAAAUGGUUCAAGCACUUCGUGAAACACGCUGUGCAUGAGCGCCCUCUCAUCCUGUUGUUCGACGGUCACAAAUGUCCCGCUCCUCUUGAAGUUGUCGCCGAGGCGAAACGGCAACGUGUCACACUUGUGUGCCUUCCUGAGCAAUACUUGAAGGCUCCGCUGAGCGUCUCGUUCCUUGGAUCUCUCCAGUCGAAAUUUGCCAGAGCUGCACAGGAUGCCUCCAACCUCAAGAACUCGUACAUGGUGGAAAAGACGAUGUUCGCCAUGGUGUUCCGUAAGCCGUACGAGGAGCUCAAGAAGAAGAAGGUGGUGGUGGAGGGCUUUAAGACUUCAGGCGUCUACCCUCUCAGUUCUGAGGGACUGCGUCAUGGCAAUCUCGCACCACCACAGUCGAAGAACCCGUGCUCUUCUGCCAAAGAUCCACCCACUUAUUAUUGUUCUCAUGCCCUUCUCAGGACGAGUGCCCCCCCGACCUCACCCCCGCUGAAGCACGUAGACCACCCACUGGUGACAGCGCGCAUGAUUCAGCCCGAGGUGGUUGUGACCCUGACCCCCCCCAUCGAGUUUGAAAAGAAGACCGGUAGAAGGGUGAAAGCCGUGGCGAAGGUACUCACGACAAGUGACAAGAACAAGAAGGAAAUGCACAAGACUGUGAAGACCAAACAAGCUUCACAUUUCAAAAAACUAAAUGCGCUUCCUAUACAUGAUAAAUCCCUGGAGAAAAAGUCCAGGUCCGGUAGGGGGCAGACCAGGGUGAAACGAUCCAACCCUUUAACAGAGAGGGAGGUGCCAUCUGUAAUGAAGAGGUCACCUCCAAAGAAACCGAAAAGAGUUGAGCUGGAGGACAUGACGGAAUGAUCCAUUUCUCCUCAGAAGCAGUGGUCCGACCUGGGAAUGUGUUGAGUUCAACUGAGAUUAGAACCAGAACAUCCUGAAUUAUUCAGGAAAGACUUGACAACCCCAAGUAAAUACGGUGCAGGUUUGUUGCAGAGAGAACCGUGCAUGUCUCUCAAGAGGAGGAAAAUAUUACAGACAGGACAAGGGUCAAAUGAACAGCAGAGCAGGGUACAGCAAUCACUCAUUUUCAAAAAUGAGAAGACUGAAUCCGCAGCAGAGAGAUACCAUACAAACUAAUCGGGAAAUGGAUGAGAUGGAGAACCUGGCCAAACCAUCCACAGCUCUGAAACGACAGAGGCUGUAGAUGAGAACAUUUGCAAAGACACUUGACAUGUCAUCCAGAGACUCUUAAAGCACCCAGAAACAGGUGAAUGCCUCCAGGAAAGAGAGGAGAUGGAAGAGAGAGGAUCUCCCUCGUCAUCCCCACACUAGUGGUUUGUCCCAAGAGGCAGGACUUCACUAUACUAGCAUAGAAUCGGUGACAACAAAGGGAGGGAACUGUUUAUAAGAUGUAUAUAUGUAAUGUAGACAUAAGUUUUAUUCAAAGAUGGUUUUGAAGAAUUUUUUUUAGAAGCAAAUAUAGAUCAUUAAACAAUGAAAAACCAAGAGUACACGAGCUUCAUUAGUGAGUUCUAGUUGUGUUCAUUUGAUUUACAACGGACUUACAUCAGAUCAACUACAAUAUUUAAACUCUACACCUGAAUUAGACGAGUUUUUUUUUUUUUAGGAAUUGUAAAUACAUUCUUUCAAUAUAUAUAACAAUAUUUAAACGAUAUAAACCUAUUUUACUUGAAAAUCAUCUCUGCAUGUUUUACAGUAACUUAGAAGUUCAGAUGUUACAUUUUUUAGACGACUCCUGAUAUUUUUUUAGGGAAAGAAUAACCCUACAGUUGAUUUUGUUUUAUUCACUGACUAUAUGGAUACGUUUUUUCUUCUAGAAUCAUUAGCGAAUAACGAAAGC